AUACGUAGGGGGCGAGCGUUGUCCGGAAUGAUUGGGCGUAAAGGGCGUGUAGGCGGCCUGGUAAGUCUGGAGUGAAAGUCCUGCUUUCAAGGUGGGAAUUGCUUUGGAUACUGUCGGGCUAGAGUGCAGGAGAGGUUAUCGGAAGUCCCGGUGUAGCGGUGAAAUGCGUAGAGAUCGGGAGGAACACCAGUGGCGAAGGCGGGUAACUGGACUGCAACUGACGCUGAGGCGCGAAAGUGUGGGGAGCAAACAGGAUUAGAUACCCUGGUAGUCCACACUGUAAACGAUGAAUGCUAGGUGUAGGAGGUAUCGACCCCUUCUGUGCCGGAGUUAACACAAUAAGCAUUCCGCCUGGGGAGUACGGCCGCAAGGUUGAAACUCAAAUGAAUUGACGGGG
rnacentral:rRNA from 1 species